rnacentral:tRNA from 1 species
GGUGACUAGGUACGACGUACGCACAUCACCUGCUUUGCAAGCAGGGGGUUAGGGGUUCGAGUCCCCUUAGCUCCA